rnacentral:ncRNA from 1 species
UGUGAUCCCGUGUUCGAGACUCCCGUCCGUUUGCCCUGUGACACCUUCCCCGGUUCCAGGUCUGCCACACGGAAGGGAAUCUCGAAUCCGGGUCGCUAGAGG